GAUGAAGAACGCAGCGAAAUGCGAUAAGUAAUGCGAAUUGCAGAAUUCCAGUGAGUCAUCGAAUCUUUGAACGCACAUUGCGCCCUUUGGUAUUCCGAAGGGCAUGCCUGUUCGAGCGUUAUUGAGACCUCAAGCUCUGCUUGGAAAUGGGCGCUUGUCUUGCCUUGCAGACUCGCCUUAAAACCAUUGGCAGCUGAUUUACAAUGUUUGGUGCACAGUACAUGAGCCCAAGUGUUGCAAUGAGUGGCCCAAAAGUAUACAAUAGAAGCUUAACCUCGGAUCAGGUAGGGAUACCCGCUGAACUUAAGCAUAUCAAUAAGCGGAGGA
rnacentral:misc_RNA from 1 species